GACGAACGCUGGCGGCGUGCUUAACACAUGCAAGUCGAACGGGAAGGCCCUGCUUUUGGGGGGUGCUCGAGUUGCGAACGGGUGAGUAACACGUGAGUAACCAGCCCUUGACUUUGGGAUAACUUCAGGAAACUGGGGCUAAUACCGGAUAGGAGCUCCUGCUGCAUGGUGGGGGUUGGAAAGUUUCGGCGGUUGGGGAUGGACUCGCGGCGUAUCAGCUCGUUGGGGGGGUAGUGGCUGACCAAGGCUUUGACGGGUAGCCGGGCUGAUCGGGUGACCGGCCACAUCGGGAUUGGACUACGGCACAGCCCACUCCGCGAGGCAGCAGUGCGGAAUAUUACAUUAUGGGCUGAGGGAUGACGCAGUCCAGCCGCGCGGCGUGUGAGGGCAUUCGGUUUGUGUUGUGCUUUCGCCUGUGACGAAGUGUGAGUGACGGUAAUGGGUAAAGAAGCUCCGGCUAACUCCGUG
rnacentral:rRNA from 1 species